rnacentral:rRNA from 1 species
GACGAACGCUGGCGGCGUGCUUAACACAUGCAAGUCGAACGGAAAGGCCCUUCGGGGUACUCGAGUGGCGAACGGGUGAGUAACACGUGGGUGAUCUGCCCUGCACUUUGGGAUAAGCCUGGGAAACUGGGGCUAAUACCGAAUAUGAACAUCGGCUUCAUGGUCGGUGGUGGAAAGCUUUUGCGGUGUGGGAUGGGCCCGCGGCCUAUCAGCUUGUUGGUGGGGUAAUGGCCUACCAAGGCGACGACGGGUAGCCGGCCUGAGAGGGUGACCGGCCACACUGGGACUGAGAUACGGCCCAGACUCCUACGGGAGGCAGCAGUGGGGAAUAUUGCACAAUGGGCGCAAGCCUGAUGCAGCGACGCCGCGUGAGGGAUGACGGCCUUCGGGUUGUAAACCUCUUUCAGCACAGACGAAGCGCAAGUGACGGUAUGUGCAGAAGAAGGACCGGCCAACUACGUG